ACAUGAUGAAUGAUAAUUUCAAUACUCAAUAGACACCAGGUAUGUGGCACCUCGAAUGUCUAUUUAGAAUAUUAGACUCAUUAUCACACACAUUAAUAGAAGACUAUGAACAAGUUAUCCCCAUAACUAUAUCAUUUUAAGGACCUAAUAAUUUAGAAGAUUUGAUUUAAUGAUUUGAGAAUAAGAGAAAAAAUUGAUCUGCAAGUAGUAAAUCCUUCCACUAAUUUGACCAAGUCAUGAAGAGGACUUUAUAUAAGCUGAUCUAAAGACACCUAAAUCAGUCAUACUGAUUUAUCUUAAUGGCAUGGGUCAGCUCGAAUCGAUUAGUGAUCUAAUCAAAAUACAAUCUACUAUGUUGGCUAAGUAAGUG
rnacentral:lncRNA from 1 species